GGCGAUAUACAGGAACGCCCACCCCAAGAGCAGUUACAUCCCCUAACACGGGGGCAGAUGCUCUCGCCAUGUGGGUCGCUAUGGGGAGCUCAGGGCGGCCCCUGAAACAAGAGGCUCCAUCGCCCGAGGUGGGGAUCCCCACCCCGCCGCACACAUCGCCCAGCCCCGCUCCCAGCCAGCGUUACCUGCCACUACGCGCCCCCGCGGGAGGCAGGGCUCCAGGCAGCGCGGCGCCAGCCGGGCGCAUCCAGCGGGGCAGUGACGGGCGCAUCGGCAGCGCCGGGCUCCAGCUGACAACUCGGCGAGAGGCGGAAGAGCAGAGUCAGCGACCUGGAGCGGCCAUCUUCAGCCAGCGUAAGAAGCGGCUCCCUCCUGUUCCCCACCCAGGAUCUGCUGCCAGCAAAAGUGGCCAAAUAUGGGGGGAGGAAGGCAGGGCACGACGGGAGAAGUACAGAGCCCUCCUCUGCAGACCAACCUCACAGGAAGAAGAGGAGGAGUUUUGCUCUUAAUCACCUCAGUGAAUUUAUGAGGAAUGUGUCAUAGUAUUCCAGAGGAAAAACACACAGUUGCUACAUAU